rnacentral:lncRNA from 1 species
AUGCUAAUAGCAAGUCUGAUCAAACUAGAAAAGUUUGAAGUGUGGUUUAACAAUGUAUUGCAUGUCUGUUAUUUAAGAAUCACUCUUUUUUACCCGAAAUUUGAAGUAGCAAAUUUUUCCUUAAAGUACAUUGGUGGUUCUUUUGUUAUAAAGAAUGCUUAUGGGAGAGGGAGUAUUAAGCAUAUGAGAGUACUAUCUAAUCAACUUGAGCCUUCCUAUAAACAAGAUAAAAACCCACUAAUGUCAUUUCCUACAUAAGUUCCAGUACUUGGAUCUGUUAUUUCAUUGGUUUGGGCAUUCCCUCUAAUGGUGUGGAUAACAAGCCUUUCAUAACUUCUCAUUCUUUAUGGUGCUUUUUCAAUAUCUUUCUAAAGUUCUCCAUAGAAAACCCACCCAGUUUCUCUGACUUUUUAAAAACUUAAAAAACUCGUUACUAGUGACAAUCUUUAGCUAACUAUCUCUUGACUCAUUCGGAUUAUUUUACAUUUCUGGAUGUUCAUGUCAAUUAUACUUUUUAAUCCACUUUUUAUGUACAAGUAAGGUUAUCUGUUCACUUCCCCCAUAUAUGUUUUCAUUGCCUUUUAGAGUAUUUGUAAUUUUGUGCCUGCUAAGAUCAUGGUGUCUUAUAAUUCCCACAUAGCAUUAUUGGUAAAGUACCCAUGAUAUUGAAAAGCAAUGUGCAAUUGUGCAAAUGUUCUUCAGUCCAAUCAGGAGAUUCUGGGAUUCUAGUUUAUUACUCCUCUUUAUCUGUCAUAAUUAUCCUUCCAACAGCAUUUUUAAGCUGGAUAAUGAGUACUUUUCAUCCACCUGGUUUUUUCACUGUGGAUAAUCCCACAUUUUCCAAACUACUCUGACUGUCACUAAAGAAGCUUUCAAAUAUUAUGGGGCUCAAUGGUAUUGGCAUAAAACAUUCUGCAACUAACAUUUGGAGAAGCUCUCCAGUAAUAGGUAAUACUUUGGAAUCUGUGCAGCAGUGGUGUCAAACAAAGUUACCAGUAAACCAUGUAUAAGGAUCCCGGUAAACCACAUGUUAACAGUUUUGAAAUGUAAUGUUAUCUGUUUUGUUGUACAUUUAUUUAUUUUGUUAAAUAUUUCCUAAUUACAUUUUUAUCUGUUUCAAAUCACAGUGGGUAGUGGGCAGUAUUGUAGCUACUUGUGUCACAGGUUGUAUGUUUGAUAUGUCUGGCAUAUGGGAUAUGUUCCAUUAAUCUUAAAAACAGUAUGGGUGAGCCUUUGUGUCCCCGUUUUAUGCCUUAUUGACAUAACUUCAUUAGUAUGAUUUGUUAUAGAAUCUUGUAUAAUUUUAAUUUGAUUGGGAGACAUCCUGUUAGAGGAGAGUAUUUAAGGCUGCAAUUUGUUCUCCUGAAUUGAAUGCUUUUUUAAAAAAAUCAAUAAACAAUGGAUGCAACAAGAUUGUGUGUUCUUC